UAAGGAAUAUUGGUCAAUGGACGAAAGUCUGAACCAGCCAUGCCGCGUGGAGGAUGACGGUCCUCUGGAUUGUAAACUUCUUUUAUUUGGGACGAAAAAAGGGCAUUCUUGCUCACUUGACGGUACCAGAUGAAUAAGCACCGGCUAACUCCGUGCCAGCAGCCGCGGUAAUACGGAGGGUGCAAGCGUUAUCCGGAUUCACUGGGUUUAAAGGGUGCGUAGGCGGGCAGGUAAGUCAGUGGUGAAAUCUUUGGGCUUAACCCGAAAACUGCCAUUGAUACUAUCUGUCUUGAAUAUUGUGGAGGUGAGCGGAAUAUGUCAUGUAGCGGUGAAAUGCUUAGAUAUGACAUAGAACACCCAUUGCGAAGGCAGCUCACUACGCAUAUAUUGACGCUGAGGCACGAAAGCGUGGGGAUCAAACAGG
rnacentral:rRNA from 1 species